rfam:Caenorhabditis japonica strain DF5081 Contig18212.44, whole genome shotgun sequence.
UGGCCGAGUGGUCUAAGGCGCUGCGUUCAGGUCGCAGUCCUCUCCGGAGGGCGCAGGUUCGAAUCCUGC